AGUUUAUGGGCGAAAAUCACGUGUCCCUGAAUGAGUUUUCUAUAGCGGUGAACAACAAUACAAUCUGUACGGGUGUUUGAUAUUAUUUAGUUAUUUAUGUGUUUUUGAUAGGAUUUUCUUUAUUUUAAUAUUUUCCAUUAUUUCCUAAACGUAUUUGUGUGGUUAGAACAAAAAGUUAUGUUUAAAAAUCGGUCUAAAAAUGACGUAACCCUGUUUAACAUCAUGGAAUAUAUUGGGCCUAGAAGGAACAAAUUCGAAAACCAUUAAAAGAUUGUGUCUACAGAUGUGAGUCAAACCAACCUCAUGAGAUAACAAUUAAUCUGAAUGAUAUAGUUAAAUAUUGGAAAUGUAUUUGUUCAUGUAAGGGUGGAAGAGACUUAGAUAUCUACACAAAACUACCAAAAAGGUGCACAAGAGUUUUAUUGACCACUAGAAUAGAAUUUUAACAACUAGUACAUAUAUAAUACAAUUUUACCACGUUUUUUGUUGUUUCCGAAGUGCACCUUAUGGAUGGGUGGUUGUUUCACUUUACUCUUAAAUAGGCACCGGAGUAGAAGGAAAUUAGAAAGUUGAUAAACUAAGCCCAAACACUCCAAUGAGGUCCAUAAUCCUUUGAAGGAAUCAUUCUCAAUCCAAAAUUAGAAGAGGCAAGAUUGUAAAGUUAACUUAAAUUUAUAACAAUACAUUAGCCAGAGACAGAGGGUCUAACAAAGCAUUGUUGUCCAUUAUUUAAGGAUGUGUGUGUUUCAAUACUUCAUUGAUUAGAUAAUACAAAUUGGAUCUUUAUUAAUUUAUGAAUAAUGCACAUUAGCCAUAAACUCACAACUCAACUGCAUCUAAAAUAAUUGGUAUAAUUUGUUUUCUACUUAAAGUGACAUUUUCCUGCCUAAAACACUUGAUGUUUUCAAACUCUGUGUUUAUUUCUUUGAACCGAAAGUCAUAACCUUUUACUUGUUGACAAUUACAAAGCAUUUUCAACAAUUUAUCCAUUAGCUUUUCUCCAUCAGUGGUAAAAAAUAUAGCAAUAUCUCUCCUAACAACUUCAGUAGUGUCUAUUCCCAUUAUAACUAACAGAGGCACAUCAUUGUCAAUAGCAAAUAAUCUUAUAGCUUCAUAAGCUCCAUCUAAGUUCAGAAAAUCUUCUACCAACAUUGGUAAACCAGGAACUGGGACCUUCUUUACUACUUUACAAUCUUUUGUCAAAAUUUGUUUAGGAGUGAGAUGGGAUACAUCAUUGUGUGCUUUCCAAAUUUUUUUGUACAAAUUUUCUCGUCUAUCAGGAAAGUUGUAAUUAGUUUCUAGAUAUUCAGCUAUUUUGAAGUCUAACUCUUUGGCUCUCUUAGUUUCAGGGCUCAAACUUUGAGUAUCAAAUAUGAUUGUGGCUAAAAUAUAAAUGAAUUUAGAAAUAUAAAACAAAAACUAUUUGCACAAGUCAAUAAUUUCAAGGAUCUAAUAUAUAUAAUAAUUAAUGCAAAUAUUUUCUUUGGAAAUAAUACCACUCUCUGAUCAUUUCAAACGAAAAAAUAUUAAAUAGUGUUUUUAACACGUAAACUGCAUUGAGUUAAUAGAGUAUGUAAGUUAGGCACUCAAAUUAUAUCAUAUGAAAUAUCAUUUACCAUAUAAUAAAUAUCCUAUUUCUCUAAACAACAAGCCAUCAGCUGUAGAUAUUAUUUGAUCAGCUAUUAAAGUAGCACAAGAACCCACUUGUUCAAUGAUUAAAUCAACUUUAUUUUCAUUCCAACUUGCAUUAACAUCUAGAGGCCUAUGAUCAAUGAUUUGUAUAACUGUACUUUCCAGUAUUCUCUGGCUUUCCGUUAACACAUGAUGAUCUACUAGAGAAGUUGUAACAUUUUUCGUUUUCAUUAGAGUUUCAAAGCUCAACUGAUCUCUAGAAUAAUGAAAUUUUUGUGUGGAUCUGUUGUUUAUUGAAAUCAAAUGAAAUAUACUAACUUGUAGACUAGAAGAUCCAAUGGUAAUCCUAUUUCCUUAUAUAAGUAACAAGUAUCUGUACGAAAAGGAAAACUUUCUUUACAGACAUUAUGAACGGGAAUUAUGAGAGAAUUGGUGGGAAUCUUGGAUGGUUUUUGAAAAUGAAGAAAAUAACCAAGAAUAAUAGCCGAAAUACUAGAAUCGAUAUCACAUGAUUCAUUUCCUAAAACAAUGUGGAUAUUUUUGAAUCUGGCGAAGUUAUCUUCGAGACAUGUCUUUACAAACUGAAGGUAGCUAAUAAAAUUUUCCAUGUCAAAACUUAUUAUCAACUAUUGUGCAAACUCAACAACAUUAUUUUGAAAUAUUGUGUACUUUCCUUAAAUAAACAUAAUUGGAAUGUAA